AGUCCACAGUCAGUUGGUGAGAAAUACUGUGUAUAACCACAGAGUCACAAACGUUAUUAGCAGGAGAGUACAGGAGAACUUUAUUGUGUUACUUCUGGCGCCGUCGUCUCGCUAACUGGCUUUCUGUUGAUCCACACCGGUGUAGACGUCUCCGCAGGUCCUGACUCUCUUUAGCUGGCUGCUCUGUGCUCCUCCUCCAACUGGUAUCUGAAUCUGAAUCUCUUUUCUUGGUCAGCUAUGUCAAUCAACUCACGGGAGCUUGUCAACAUGUGCACACUUCCACUCGUGACUUCAGCCAUAUUUCACAGCAAAGCAUUACAUGAGAGGAUUUACACUUACGCUGUACACUCCUUGUGAUAGAAAGUCAGAACAAACUCUGAGUGCAACCUGCAACGCGUGCUUCCCCCUGUAAGGACGGUGCCCCUAAAAUAAAAUAAAAAAGGAGGCGCUCUCCAGCUGGCUCCCCCGUCACUCACCUGCAGCUGCACGGACGAGCAGAGGAGCGCUCUGCUGUUGUGGCGUGGAUGUGCCGCAGCACAGCGGGAGCAGAGACCAGCCGGUCGACACAAGCCAUUUACUGCGUAACGUCAGCACGUUAGUUAAACUGGUUUAACCAUAAUAACUGGAGUGUGCAUCCAUACGCAACUUUUUUUCUCCCCCAUUCAAAUCGGGGACAUUUUCGGGGACAGCUUUAACCGGGGACAGGUCGGCCAAAUCGGGGACUGUCCCCGAAAAUCGGGGACGUCUGAUCACCCUAUAUUAUAUAUUAUAUAUGUUAUUAUAGCGUUACGUAAAUAUUACCAUGUGAUGUUGUUUAUAUGUGUGUUAAUAUGCUAGUGUGUCAGGUGAAGUGUGUUUCAGGACUGUUAUUGUGAUAAUUAGAGGCAAAUGGGGAUGUAGUCAUUUCAGUACUCCUUUAUUAUGUUUAUUAGUGAUUAAGAGCUUUAUUCCUUAUUCAUUUGUGUAUAUUUGUUAUUGUUCUUUUGAUAUAGAAAAACCACAUGACCUCACUGCCAGCAAGAGAGUAUUAAACACCUGCACUAUCCAUCACCUGCUUCUUCAUUGUGGACCCUCUGAAAGUUGAUUAGCCUUAAGUUGGUGUUCUGGCCGGCACCCCGGUGUGAACUCAGAGAUAGCCCCUGAACUAACGCCAUAUACAGUAUACUCCCAGUGUCUUCACUACAAAUUUCCUGAUACUUGAAUAUAUGGAAUGAAAGUCUGAAUAUAUGGAAUGAAAUGUCACGUGAUCAAGGCACUGCGCCAUCUUGUGUUUUCCAUACUGGCCUAAUAUUAUUCCAUAAGGAUGUUACUGCAAGAAGUGUGGGACUGAGUGAGCCUGCAUGGUAUCUGUAAGAGGCAAUCCUAACCUCCUGGUGAGUGUGUGCCAAUAUUCACACUGUUACUGUACUGUAGCGUGUACCUGUCACGUCCGUUCAUGGCAGCUCUCCUCUUAUUGAUCUGUGCACUUGGUAGUUGCUAGGAUUAUUUUUAGUGGCUAGUACACUAAAUUUCAAUUUCUUUGGCUAACCUGUUAGAACCUUCAAGUUGUUAAACACACACUACCUAAUAAUUACUACCUGUAGAGAUAACAUGUUAGCAUACAGCAUAAAUUGAUUCAAAAUUGAUUAUUCACUUCCACUGAUAUAGAUUAACUACAUAUCUGAUAUUAAAAGGUUUGUUUAAUUUCAAACCCUGGUGAAAAAUCUGUAGCUGAACGAUUGAAUGUCCAGUUUGAAGAGAGAAGAGAGAGAGAGAGAGAGAGAGAGAGAAGGGGUGUACGGCCAAAACAGUCCUUCCUUGCCUGUCGUAGUGUUGGUUGCUGUUGAAACUCCUGACACCCCCUCCUUGAGAUCACCCACUGCCUCUGACACCUCUGCCUUAAUUCCCUGCGAACAGGGAAUCAUCCUCCUCGUAGUUUUUCUGAACGGUCAACACAUCUUGUUCUGUUGGUGCAGUGGGGACAGGUUUGGUGGUCCAGGAGAUGCCUCCCAAUGAUCAAUGACCAGCAACUCAUACAUGCAUGAUAAAAUAACACAAAGUCUUACUUUCAGCAGCGUUCCAACAAAAGCAAGCAAACUAGGGCUGUGCUAUUCGGGCCCUUUUGGUUAUCUUCUGUGGCAUGUUUCUGAGCCAAUGAUGCCAGCCAUGGGGAUUGUAGGACGAUAGGUGUGGGGAAACAGGCAGCGUGGGUCAUUAACCAAAUCACCACAAUCACUUUGUCUGUCUGCUGUGUCCAGUACAGGACUGUGAUCACACCCCACCCUAGGCCCCAGAGAAUAAUUGCGCUGAGUUUGAUCAGCCAACGCCUUCUUCCUCUUUCUUGCAGCGCCAACGGUCAUUAGGGCUUCGCAUAUGAUGUUGGCCAUGGUUUUAAGGUUGUGUUUUCUUUUUCUUCUUGGUUCUUCUUUUCUACUUAAUUUAUUUAAUACUACCUUUCUUGCUUCCCCUUGAAGAUCAGGAACUGCAAAUGGCUAGGGUGUGACGGCGCCCAGUUCUUAUAGGCUCCGUCUGGCUUGAGUGGUUUCUCACUCCUGACUCCUUCCCAUAGGACCGACAGAGUAGAUGGCUCUGAGCAAACCACACCAGAAUUCUUAACUUCUUCCCACUUCAUCACCUCCUUCUCCUCCGACAGAAUCCUUUGUUUAGCACAAUCUAAUUUUCUUCAGUCCCCUGCCUGCCCAGAGUCCUGAGGCUGUUCUCCUUAAGGCAACCCCGCCAUAGACAGUGGCCAGCCUGAUGUAGGGUGGUAGGUUUUGUAUGUUACUGGCCAUUCUUGGUUCCUAGUUUUCUUCUAGCUUGGAAUUGGCUUAAGCUGCUCCACUCCCUGGGUUCCCUUCUUCUUCAGUAACACCGUGUUACUGUCUAGAACUUUCAAUACUAUGUCAGGUACUUCGUACUUAGCUUUGAUGUCACAUCCUGACAUAGAAUUCACUAGCACCAAAAGGUAUUUCUCACCUUUCUUCCCUGUCACCCCCAUCGGGCCGGCUACGUCCAUGCAUACUGAUCCCCAUGGUACGGUGCUUUUUAUGGUGACGCCAUCCACUCUCUGUUCCCUGCACCCUGCGUUGUAUUGACCACACACUUCGCAGUCUUUGAGGACUCCUUGAAUUCGGCUUAUUGGAACCCAAAGCUGCUGCUUGUCCAAUUCGAUCCUGGUGGGCUUGGUGUCUGCAUGUCUACGCUUCAUGUACGGCCUGCACCACCUCCACCAAGGAUUCUUCUGGGACCACCCUUCCUUUGGGACCACCUACCUUUUGCUGUUUUCACCAAUCUGUCCACGGUCAAUCAGAAGUAUUGACGUUGUGUUUCCUGAACCAACAAAGAGCCACGAAGUACGCUGACAUUUGUCCUGAUAAUCUCUCACAUUGUCACAAGGCAAAGUGACUUCAUCUCCAACUCUGACAACAAUACGGGGGGAGAGUUGUUCAGCCACUGCUGUUGAAAAAAGAUGAGAAAGAAUUAAAUAAAUAGGCUUUUAUGUUGAGAUUAAGUGUGAAAGCUGAAGUUUGUUUUGUAAUGUUUCUGGUAUUUCUGUUUAUGCUAUAUGUAUCCUUACCUGUAAAGUGAAGCAGCAGCAUCAGAAAUAAAGACAUUUUAAUCCA